rnacentral:miRNA from 1 species
AACUAAGGUUGUUCUUCGUAUGAGCUUUUGUGUGCAUGCACACUUCUUCAGAUGCACACUUCUUCAGAUACUGAAGAAGUGUGCAUGCACACAAAAGCUAAUACCAAUAACAAACUUAGUUGG